AUUGAACGCUAGCGGGAUGCUUUACACAUGCAAGUCGAACGAGUGGCGGACGGGUGAGUAAUAUAUCGGAACGUGCCUAGUCGCGGGGGAUAAAUACUCGAAAAAGUGGCCAACACCGCAUACCAUUGGAGCGGCCGAUAUCGGAUUAGCUAGUGGGUGGGGUAAAGGCUCACCAAGGCGACGAUCCCUAGCUGGUUUGAGAGGACGAACGGCCACACUGGUACUGAGACACGGCCCAGACGCCUACGGGAGGCAGCAGUGGGGAAUUUUGGACAAUGGGGGAAAGCCUGAUCCAGCCAUGCCGCGUGUAUGAGAAGGCCUUCGGGUUGUAAAGUACUUUUGGCAGAGAAGCGGUAUCUGCAGAAUAAGCACCGGCUAACUCCGUGCCAGCAGCCGCGGUAAUUC
rnacentral:rRNA from 1 species